ACCUCCAUGAUAUCUUCGUUUUUGCUUCUUGGCUUCAAGACCUAAUGUAUUUACUAUCCGGCUUUUUCCAGAAAAUGUUUGCUGACUCCUGUCUCUUAAAUCCUGGGAAGAGAGAGAACAUUUAUAAUCACUGAGCCAAGGAGUGGCCGGCACUUUCAGAUGUCCUGUUAUUUACCUUGACCAUGACGUUGCCAAGGUCACCAAUGGGGAAAGGAGGCCUUGAGAAGUCGAAUGGCCUCCGAAGUGGCCCUAGGGUCCAGCCUCGGUCCUCUACACCCAGCCAGGUGACCGUGCAGCCAAGUGACAGGCAGAUCAGGAACGUCAGGCUCUGUCCUUUCUCUGGUUCCCUUGCUCGUGCAAAGAGAAACAGAGAGAAGCAUCAUGGGCUUGCCUUGAACCAGCAAAACCCUCCUGAGCCGGGGAAAUUUUGCUCUGGCAGGCAGCUGGUAGCUCUGCCAGCCCACAGCCCUCAUCCUACCGAAGUCUGUCCUGGCGAGGGGAGAUGUUUCGAAGUUUCCCAUUUCUCUCUGAUGUCAGAGAUGUUUUAACCAGCUGGGGGCAGAAUUACAUUCUGGAAAUUACAGGGGAUGAGGGGAAAAAAAAAAUAGGGACUAUUACAAAUACAGUAGUCUUUUAGAGUCUGAGCCUCACUAUUAAUGCAUUAUAAAACAACUUAAAAAAUCCUAUCAGGAGAAGUGAUGUUUGAAGCCACGUUAUAUUUUAAAAGUGUCAGGGCACGGGCGAGUUUACAUGUGACAAGCAAUUUAAAUAUUUCAAUAUAUUUUAUAUCUUUAAAAAAAAAUGGCCAUGAUCAAAAACCCUAGAUGAAACUCUUUCAUUUGGUACCUGGGUAGGAAAACAUUGAGUUACAAAUCUUUUUGACAAUGUGGAUUCUGGGUGUUCCAUAACCAUUUUUAAUCUUCUGAAAUAUUUCAUUGCCUAGGAAAGCAAAUCAGGGUCGGGGGUAUUGUGCGCCUUUAACUUCAUUUGUCUUAACCCCCUUUCACUUUCUUGUUCUGCUUUGAUGGUCUGAUUACUUCCCUACAUAAAUAUAAGCCAGAAUUCAUUCUGAGUCUAAGCCUUAUCGCUUUCUUCAGUGGCAAUGAGGGAUGCAGAGGGUCUUUUUUUUCCCCCCCGUGCUUCAAAGUGAAUUUAGUAGUGAAUGCCAUUGCAGAAAAGCCCAUUUAUUUAUCCCUACAACGGAGUCCCAUGCUCCGGCUCAGGUUCAGAUGGAACGAAGAUUUAUUAAGCACAUACUAUGAACCGGGCACCCUGCUAGGCAUGGCUCUGCUGCAGGGAAAAGGGCCUGGCUUGCCUGCAUCAGCUCUAACCCUGCUUGCUGCUUGCACCAGGAAAGAAUUACCUUGCCAGCUGCCCUCAAGGAGGGAGUGGGGAGCUGUCCAGCCUGUCUGAACCCAGCCCCCUGCCCAAGACCUGGUCCCUGGCAGUGAGAGGAGGGAGAGGCAGUCGAGCAGCGGUGACAGCAUAGGAAUUGGAAUCCCAGGAGGCAGGGCGGUGGCUGAUGGUUUUUUUUCUAUGCCUCGAAUU
ensembl:lncRNA